UCUGUGAAUGCUACUUUUCAGUAUCUGCUAUUCUUAACUGUGAUUUGUCGCAGUUAAGAGUCGCAGUUAAGGAACGUAGGUCGCGUAUCCCUCCGCCACUGCUAUUUCUGCGAUUUCUGCUACUUCCGCGAUUUCUGCUACUUCUGCUACUUCUGCGAUUUCUGUGACUUCUGCGACUUACCACUGUAUGAAAAAGUUACAUCUGCCCACACAGAAAAUUGCAUCUCAACAAGCCUGUCAUUGGUACCCGAACUACAUUUCAGUCACUCAGUAAAUUGAUAACUCAAAAUAUCAUUGUCAACAGAUCUGGAGAAAUUGCCACUGCGUCUUUAGACCGUUUUCGUCAGACGAGAGACACAGUUCUGACUCUUGAUUACUGGUUGCUGUACGUAUCUAUCCACAUCAAGGCUAUUGAGAGAGACUCGUGAAGAUUCAAGACAGCUCUUAGAGGAUUUGCAGUUUAAAAGUGACAUAAUUGUGAAAU